GACGAAGGUGGCGAGCGUUGUUCGGAAUCACUGGGCAUAAAGCGCACGUAGGCGGUGGCGUAAGUCGGGUGUGAAAUCCCUCGGCCUAACCGAGGAACUGCGCCCGAUACUGCGUUGCUUGAGGACCAAAGGGGUGCAUGGAAUUUCCGGUGGAGCGGUGAAAUGCGUAGAGAUCAGGAGGAACACCCGUGGCGAAGGCGGCCUUCUGGGUCCGCCCUGACGCUGAGGCGCGAAAGCGUGGGGAGCGAACGGG
rnacentral:rRNA from 1 species